rnacentral:misc_RNA from 1 species
UUUCCGUAGGUGAACCUGCGGAAGGAUCAUUAACGCAUCUCUGACGGUGAGGGUGUGCCCUGCUCCGGACCGAAAGGCCGUGCAAGCGGGUGUGCCUGGACCGCUCAACCUUUGCAAACCCCCACUGUGCACUCUUGUCGGCGGAGGGCUUAGCGGCCCCGAGCCGGAUCGCAAACACCAAACUUGUAAAAGAAUGCAAAGCGGACAUUGUGCCGCCUAAACUUUAACAACUUUCAACAACGGAUCUCUUGGCUCUC